rnacentral:rRNA from 1 species
ACUCAAAUGAAUAGACGGGGGCCCGCACAAGCAGUGGAGUAUGUGGUUUAAUUCGAAGCAACGCGAAGAACCUUACCAGGGCUUGACAUGCAGGUGAAUAUAUAAGAGAUUAUAUAGUCCUUCGGGACGCCUGUGCAGGUGGUGCAUGGUUGUCGUCAGCUCGUGUCGUGAGAUGUUGGGUUAAGUCCCGCAACGAGCGCAACCCCUGUUGUUAGUUGCCAUCAUUAAGUUGGGCACUCUAACGAGACUGCCGGUGACAAAUCGGAGGAAGGUGGGGAUGACGUCAAAUCAUCAUGCCCCUUAUGUCCUGGGCUACACACGUACUACAAUGGCUAUAACAGCAGGGAGCUAAGGAGUAAUCCGGAGCGAAUCCUCAAAAAUAGUCCCAGUUCGGAUUGUGGGCUGCAACCCGCCCACAUGAAGUCGGAAUUGCUAGUAAUGGCAGGUCAGCAUACUGCCGUGAAUACGUUCCCGGGCCUUGCACACACCGCCCGU